UACAGAGACUGCGAGCGCUAUUCGGAUUCACUGGGCGUAAAGGGUGCGCAGGCGGCCGUGUGUGUGAGGCGUGAAAGCCCGGGGCUUAACCCCGGAAUUGCACCUCAAACUACACGGCUAGAGCAUUGGAGAGGGUAGCGGAAUUCACGGUGUAGCAGUGAAAUGCGUAGAUAUCGUGAGGAACACCAGAGGCGAAGGCGGCUACCUGGACAAUUGCUGACGCUCAGGCACGAAAGCGUGGGGAGCAAAAGGG
rnacentral:rRNA from 1 species